GCAUGGCCGCGGGAUAGUUUGAUCCUGGCUCAGAUUGAACGCUGGCGGCAGGCCUAACACAUGCAAGUCGAGCGGUAACACAGGGAGCUUGCUCCCGGGUGACGAGCGGCGGACGGGUGAGUAAUGUCUGGGAAACUGCCUGAUGGAGGGGGAUAACUACUGGAAACGGUAGCUAAUACCGCAUAAUGUCGCAAGACCAAAGAGGGGGACCUUCGGGCCUCUUGCCAUCAGAUGUGCCCAGAUGGGAUUAGCUAGUAGGUGGGGUAACGGCUCACCUAGGCGACNAUCCCUAGCUGGUCUGAGAGGAUGACCAGCCACACUGGAACUGAGACACGGUCCAGACUCCUACGGGAGGCAGCAGUGGGGAAUAUUGCACAAUGGGCGCAAGCCUGAUGCAGCCAUGCCGCGUGUAUGAAGAAGCCUUCGGGUUGUAAAGUACUUUCAGCGGGGAAGAAGCGGUGAGGUUAAUAACCUCAUCNAUUGACGUUACCCGCAGAAAAAAGCACCGGCUAACUCCGUGCCA
rnacentral:rRNA from 1 species